UGUAAACACGCCGGAGCGCGCGGGCCGCCACGUGCGGAGCCGGAGCCAUGCGCCGGGCGACGAGCAGCUCGUGCAGCCCGGGAGGCCGCGCACGGGAAGGUGGCCCCUGGAUGAGCCCAACUUUCCUGACUGACCACUUCGCUCUGGACACUGACGGCUUGCAUCUCCCACUGCAAGCUCUUCACUGCAUAUGUCUGGUACCUGCCCGUACUGGGCAGGGAAUAAAAAUUCAACUGACAGCCAGCAUAUACAGAAGACCAUGGGACUGAGCAGCUACUAGUUCUUGGACUUGCCAUUCACAACUAGCCAUUGUUGGACUGCAGCCUUACCCACAGAGGCCAGAAGAUGGCGUCAUCCCCACGGGCUGGAGUUGCAGUUAGGCGCUGCCAUAUGGAUACUAUAAAUUGAAUAUGGGUCAUCUGAAAGAGCAGCCAGUGCUCUUAACUGAGCCAUCUCUCUAGUGCCUAAUCAUGUAAAAUUCUUGAAUGGAUUCCUCAGAGAUUCAAUCAGUGUUAGUAGGGAAGAAUUUUUAAGAACUGAAGAAAUCUGCUUAAAGCAACGGUAAAGCAAUUAAAUUGCCAUCACCUACAAACAAGGUCUAUCUAAUUUUCAUUGGGAUGCCAAAAUACACUUAACUCAGCAAAAUAAUGUCUUUCAAAAAAGUGCCACUUGAAGCCCCAGCUUAUGCCUGGUAUUACAUGACUGUAUUAAAACAUGACUUUUAAUUUGGUACAAGUAAGAGGAGUAUUUAGCCUUUCUAAAGUACGUCUAUAUAAUACUGAGACUUAAGAGGGCAGCAAUUCUGGAAAGGUUAGCAUUGCCCGGGUUUAGUUUUUAUUCAUGGGAACAAGCUACAUACAGUGGUCCAGUGGAGUCAUGGCCUGAAAUAUCCAAGAGGAGCACAUAGGAUGGCGGUGAAGUACUCCAAAGGGUCCAGAGAAGGCAUAAGUCAGUGGCUGCUCUCACAAUGUGGUUUGCUAUUAUUACAGAGCAUGUUUCACUGACAUGCAUUGACUGACUGGCCAGACUAAGCAGAUGAAAUGGAGAGGAAGACUUGGUUUUCAUAGGUGACAAUCGUCUGAGAUGUAUGCUGAAAAUGUUCUCUUGGUGAAGGCCACAGAAUCUUUGAAGGUUGAUUUGUGACAUACAAUCUUCACUGACUUACCUCCCCUGAGCUUACUGGGCCCUCACCCAUCUGCCAUUCAGAGCCCCCCUGCCAUUUUGGACUGACAUACAACAGACAUCACUGCAAUGUGAAAUCUGAGGAAAGCUGUUAGAACAAAUACUUGGAUUUUCUAGGUUGAGCACCACUUAAUGUGAUUUAGCUAACAUGUGGAAGAAAAUAAAUUUUUGAAGUGUAUUUUAGGUGAAUUUGAUACCCUAAAUAAUUUAUUCUACAGUAUAUCAGAAUGUAUUCUAAUAUACUUAUCAGAAAUACCAGUCUUUUUAUUUCCCUCCAGUAGCAUAAUUUUGUAAGUGAGAUGGCUCUCUAUUAUACAACUGAGCUAUGCUACAACCAAUAACCUUACAAAACUCAACACAGACCUACAUGCUGCAAUUAUAACCCUGACUGUGAUAACUUAAGUAAAUUUCCAACACAAUCACUUUAUACUUCUAAAGCCAUAGCUUUGUACUGUAUAGAAAUAACAUUUUUGCUUAGCAGACUGUUUGUGCAAAGAGUAAAGUGCUUGCAACGUACCUGGGGCUGCUUGAGUUGUCUUCUUCAUUUCCACAGCUGGCCUCACUAAGGCCAGGGCAGGAACUGUGCACAGCAUAGACAGACAUGCUGGGAUGCUCAAUGAGAAGGUUUUCCAUAGGACUUGUUUCCACCUUGACAGUGGGUAAUCCACCUGCCGUAAAACAUGGGGGAGGGGUGAUGAACCAGCUCUCCUCCAGUGGACAGGACUCAAACUGGAGGAAGCAGGAAUCGCUGGUAUCAGCCAGACACUCCAGAGACGCAGGUAAACAGAAGACUGACGUGUGCUCUGCUGGGGACUCUUCAUUGAUGUCAUCCUCGUCUUCCUCUUCCUCUGCUGAGAAACUAGUGCAAGUAUCUAAAUUGUGAUCCACAUAGCACACAGGAGGAUGAGCAGUCAGUGGUGGUAGUCACCAUGAAGUUCACAACAGAAAAAAGAAAAAAUACUGUAUUAACAGAUGCUUACAAAAGCAGUAUUCACUUGUAGCAGUUAUAAAUUAAUUUCCAACUUGUCUAUAGUUAUACUGGCAUUAAGGAAUGACUUUAGGACUUUAUAUUCUGGCAAAUAAACAUUGUAAGUCUCGUGGGUUCCUGUUCAUAUGAGGGUUUCCCAUUAAAAUAUCUUUGCUUAGACCAGG